GAUCAUGGCUCAGGAUGAACGCUAGCGACAGGCUAACACAUGCAAGUCGAGGGGCAGCAUAAAAGUAGCAAUACGUUGGUGGCGACCGGCGCACGGGUGAGUAACGCGUAUGCAACCUACCUAUCAGAGGGGAAUAACCCGGCGAAAGUCGGACUAAUACCGCAUAAAACAGGGGCACCGCAUGGUGAUAUUUGUUAAAGAAAUUCGCUGAUAGAUGGGCAUGCGUUCCAUUAGGUAGUUGGUGAGGUAACGGCUCACCAAGCCGACGAUGGAUAGGGGAACUGAGAGGUUGGUCCCCCACACUGGUACUGAGACACGGACCAGACUCCUACGGGAGGCAGCAGUGAGGAAUAUUGGUCAAUGGGCGGGAGCCUGAACCAGCCAAGUCGCGUGAAGGAAGAAGGAUCUAUGGUUCGUAAACUUCUUUUGCAGGGGAAUAAAGUGCAGGACGUGUCCUGUUUUGUAUGUACCCUGAGAAUAAGGAUCGGCUAACUCCGUGCCAGCCGCCGC
rnacentral:rRNA from 1 species